CGGCGCACGGGUGCGUAACACGUAUGCAACCUGCCUUUUACUGGGGAAUAGCCCGAAGAAAUUCGGAUUAAUGCCCCAUAUGCUCGCACAAUCGCAUGAUUGAGCGAGGAAAGCUCCGGCGGUAAAAGAUGGGCAUGCGUCCUAUUAGCUUGUUGGUGAGGUAAUGGCUCACCAAGGCUACGAUAGGUAGGGGACCUGAGAGGGUGAACCCCCACACUGGUACUGAGACACGGACCAGACUCCUACGGGAGGCAGCAGUGAGGAAUAUUGGGCAAUGGAGGAAACUCUGACCCAGCCAUGCCGCGUGCAGGAAGACGGCCCUCUGGGUUGUAAACUGCUUUUAUAUGGGAAUAAACCCUUCCACGUGUGGAAGGCUGAAGGUACCAUAAGAAUAAGGAUCGGC
rnacentral:rRNA from 1 species